rnacentral:misc_RNA from 1 species
UUUUGAUUCUUGGCCGAUGUUAAAAGAAAACCGAAACAGAACAAGCCAGCAUGCUCUUCCCCAUAGCAGAAUAGCAGCAACAGAACACGAAGACGAAGGCUAUGAAGAACAACCAUAACAUUAGUUCAAGUCUCGAUUCAAGAUUCAACCAGACCCUCAAUAAUGUUCAAGGGUUGCUUAAAGGUCGCAGUAUUCCUGGUAAAAUAUUACUGACUAGGAGAACAGAUCCACCAGAGGAUCCAAGCUUACAAGAACAUUCUCCUAGUUUUGGAAGGAGCUUCUCAGAAAAUGAUGUUGGCACAAGUGAUCGAAUUGACAUGUCAAGGGAGGCUGAAGCCCAGAGUACAAGCAAGAUAAAUAAUAAUGCAACUACAAACAAGUCAAAACCUACAUACUCCAAUAGUGAAACUACUUCCAAAGACAUUCAGAAGUCCCCCAUGGGGGCUAGAGCUACAGAUUCUGCAAGAGUUAUGAAGUUCACUAAAGAGCUAUCUGCAACAACGGUUAUAUUAGAUGAAGGAUCACACAAUGGAAGGUGCAACUUGAAGUGCAUACAAUGAUUGGGAGCUGUAGAUAGCAGUUAGCACCAUUUGGGAUGAUGGAGUUGUCUAGGGUGCUUCAAUGUUCUUUGGUUGAAGAAGGCUAAAAAGGACGUGAGAAAUGGCAGCUAGAGAAGUGGGAUUCUGGAGAAUAAAAUCUGGAAAAGGCAACCGUAAAAAAGAGCCCCUUUAUAUUGGUAACAAUAGUUAUUGUAUUGGUAACAACAUGAUAAUGGCCAUUAACAUUAUGGUCAUUACCCUUGCAAUUUUUUUUUCUGCCAUUUAUAUAUAAGGCAUAAUUUUAAUGGUUAUGGGGCAUUCAAAAUCUGUUAAUUAACAACUAUCAUUCGACACCAUGGUGCAAAUAUAGGAUACUAGGACCCUACAUAAUUGUUGCUGGUGAUGCAUACUGUCUGAAAUUCAGUAAUUAGAUUGGCUAUGCUUAUUGAUAUGUCAUUGCAGUGUACUUCAUCUUUCACAUCUUCAUGUGAUUUGGAUAUCCUUGGUGUACUUAUAGCCUAUCUAUUGUGCACUUAUGUGUGUUUAUGUGGCAUUCUUAAUUCUACAUUUAUUGAGUGGUGACAUUCUCCAUUUUCCUCUCUCUUCAUUAUUCAUUUAUACGUAUGUUCAUCAACAAUGUUUUGGGUUAUGCUAUUCGAUAGUUUAGAUUUCUAUUUGCAAUUAAUGCACUGUGAUUAUUUUCUUGAUAAUGAUUUGCAACAUCAUGGACUUUGGUUUUUGGGGUUUUGAUUUAUUUUGUCCAUCCACUGGUCUUAAUGUUCUUUUAAUAUAAAUACUAAUUGAAUAUUACCACUUUUCUUUGAAAUUCAUUGUACAGAGAGAUUGCGUGAGUUAGCUUGGAGUGGUGUGCCACCAUAUAUGCGCCCCAACAUUUGGAGGCUUCUCUUGGGAUAUGCACCACCUAAUUCAGAUAGAAGGGAGGGGGUUUUGAGAAGGAAGCGGCUCGAGUAUCUUGAUUGUGUUGCUCAGUUUUAUGACAUUCCAGAUACUGAACGUUCAGAUGAUGAGAUUAACAUGCUUCGCCAGAUUUCUGUUGAUUGUCCAAGAACUGUACCUGAUGUCACUUUCUUCCAACAAGAACAAGUUCAGAAAUCCUUGGAGCGCAUUCUUUAUGCAUGGGCAAUUCGGCAUCCUGCAAGUGGAUAUGUUCAGGGAAUAAAUGAUCUUGCCACACCCUUUCUGGUUGUUUUCUUGUCUGAAUACUUAGAAGGAGACAUCGAUAACUGGUCUAUGGAUGAUCUAUCUCCAGAUAAAAUCUCUGACAUAGAGGCUGAUUGUUAUUGGUGCCUGUCGAAGUUACUAGAUGGCAUGCAAGACCACUACACUUUUGCUCAACCUGGGAUACAGAGACUUGUGUUUAAGUUGAAGGAAUUGGUUAGUCGGAUUGAUGGUAAACACUUAUUCUACCUCUUUUUUUCUUGAAUAAAGGGUUUGCAUUUCGAAUCCAUGACUUCCAUUUCAUAUUACUCCUAGGUAUAUUAACUACCAACUGCCAUGUCAACUGCCAAUCCCUGUUGGUGGUGAAACAAUUCUUUAUUCUCUCUGCCAAGCACCUCAUUUUUCCUUGGUUGAGGGCCAGAAGAGUAUAUUUUGAAUUUGUAUGUCUGCAGGGAAUAAAUCUUUGUUACUGCUAUAUGAUAGCUUUAUUGGUUUCUUGGUUGCAUUGGCAGUAUUUGGUGCAGCAUGUUCCUCAAGACAUGCAUUAGCAUCACUGCCACAUUUACCUUUAUGCACACAGUAUUUUCAAAAUGCCACUGUUACCUCAUGGCUGCAUAACCUGGCUUAUUUUUAAGUAUAUUUUAUGCUUUGUAAGUUCAAUUAUGAAGCAUGCAUGCACCAUCUCAAAAUUUGGUUUUAAAAAUUGUUGCAGAACCUGUUUCAAGGCACAUGGAAGAGCAAGGGCUUGAAUUUCUUCAAUUUGCUUUUCGUUGGUUCAAUUGUCUUUUAAUACGUGAGGUUUGAUUUCUCAACUCUACUGCUAGUAGUUGCAAAUAUUCCAUAACCUACACUUCAAUUUUCACAUUCAGUUCACUAACCUGAACCUUUCAGGUUGAGUAUGCAAUUUUACAUUCUUGUUUUAUUAGAUCCCUUUUCAUCUUGUUACCCGCCUGUGGGAUACAUACCUGGCUGAAGGAGAUGCAUUACCAGAUUUCCUUGUGUACAUAUACACCAGUUUUCUUUUGACGGUGAGAAUCACAGUUACUUCCUUUGCACUAACACUUUACACUGUUACAUGUUUGAAUUUCUCUAUUGCUGCAAUAAUUUUCUUCCCUCUUGCAAUGCCUGUGUUGUGUGAAUGAUAAUAUCUUUAUACUGCUGUUUAUGAAAUGUAUGAAAACUAAAACAAGAUGUUGUAAAUACUCCAAUUGUAAAGGCAAGAGUCAAUAGCAUAUGUUUCACAUGCAACUUUUAUAUGUUCAAAGAGUGUUACUUUAGAUUUUUGUGAAUUGCAUAAUAGCAUGUGACUACUAUAAGCUCGACUUUAUAUAGAAACGAGCCAAGUAGGCCUUAGAUUAAAUAUUUAUACCAAAAUUUGGGCACUUAUUAUUUCAAUUAUAUGCACAUUUUAAUUGAUUAUGUAUGAAUCUCAAUACAUAUUUAAUCUAAGGGCUAUUAUACUCAUUCUUAUAUAAGGUUGAGCUUGUAUUGGAUGCAUUCUACUUGCAAUUGUUGCUACUUGAAACUUGGCGUUUGGCAUGCUUUAUUGAGAAUAUUUAAAUUCAGCUCUCAAAAAGAUUAUGCAUCAAGUACUUGUGUGUUGUAUCUUUUCUCUAGUGGUCAGAUAAGCUUCAGAAACUUGAUUUCCAAGAGUUGGUGAUGUUUCUUCAACACCUUCCAACUCACAACUGGACGCACCAAGAGCUGGAGAUGGUACUUUCUAGAGCAUAUAUGUGGCACAGUAUGUUCAACAGCUCCCCCAGCCACUUAGCUAGCUAGAGAGGAAGUAAUAUUCUCUCCCUAUUAACAGCCUCAAUUCAAUUUCCUUUUCAAUACUUUUUUUCUUUGGGUUGCGCAAAACAGUUUGUCAUCUUCAAAUGUAUGAUUUCUUAUUGUAGUAGAGAGGUGAUCAACCAUUUCUGUCCCAUGUGUGGUUGUGUAAUAUUUUUGUAUUCUCUAGCAUUGUACAUUUACCAUUGACUACUGACUCAAGAAAGAAAAACAAUCUAUGUAUAACAAUUGGUUGAAGUUGAUAAAUGGGAGUUACCGGCAUCAUGUAACAAUACCAGUGCAUUUUUUUCCUCUGUAAAUCCAUUGUAGACUUCUGACCUGGC